AUUGAACGCUGGCGGCAGGCUUAACACAUGCAAGUCGAGCGAGCGGCGGACGGGUGAGUAAUGUCUGGGAAACUGCCUGAUGGAGGGGGAUAACUCCUGGCAACGGUAGCUAAUACCGCAUACCCUCUGGUGUGGCCCGAUGGGAUUAGCUGGUAGUUGGGGUAACGGCUCACCUAGGCGACGAUCCCUAGCUGGUCUGAGAGGAUGACCAGCCACACGGUAACUGAGACACGGGCCAGACUCCUACGGGAGGCAGCAGUGGGGAAUGUUGGACAAUGGGCGAAAGCCUGAUGCAGCCAGGCCGCGUGUGUGAAGAAGGCCUUCGGGUUGUAAAGCACUUUCAGCGGGGAGGCGUUACCCGCAGAAGAAGCACCGGCUAACUCCGUGCCAGCAGCCGCGGUAAUUC
rnacentral:rRNA from 1 species